rnacentral:lncRNA from 1 species
AACGCCUCACCUUUUCAUACACCCACACAAUACUUAAUUAAUCAUGUGCAAAAAUAUGGUUAAUUUAAUUGAAUUGAUGAUUAAUUCGACUCACAUUAAAAAUUGUGGUUAGAGAAUUGAUACGAAUUUUAAAGCAAUAGUAAUUGCCAUCUUCAAACUUUUCCAUGUACUACUUCAAAGUAGAUCAACUGUUCAUCUAUACAUUCUAAUGGAUAUGUACUAUAUAUAUUGCCUAGCACAUUGAACUUCAUCCACCAUCACUUAAAAGUAUCAUUGGCUCCCCAAUAAAUAAUCAAGCAUAAAAUCAACUUUGU